AGAUGGAUCAUUAUUGAAUUUGGUUCUAAGUAUAUGAAAAUUUCAACGCUGGAAAAUGACAGCAAUGCUGUCAGCAAUAAUAAACAAUAUCGGCCGCGUGGUUGUCUUUUUUCUUAUAAGUAGUGUUCUGUUGUAUAUGCAAUCUCAAAUUCUCAACAGUGGAUGCCUCAGUUCUCAUAACGAUGAAGAACGUUGCAAAAUGCGAUAUUUAGUGUAAUUUGCAGCAUCCUGAAAAACAUCUAGUAUUUUGAACGCGAUCGGUGUCCAAUAAUUUAAUUAUUGAACAUAUAUUGCUCAAUGAUAUUUAUCACUCUAUUGUUGCUUUCAAUCUAGCAACGUCGUUCAGUGCUUUCUCGGCACUGUGACUGCAAACAUCCAGAUGCAAAUAAUGGUAUUGAAAAUAUGAUUUGGCAUUUUGGCUGUCUAACCAUAAUAUACACAAUAAUUCUUGAGUAAUAUAAGAUUACCCGCUGAACUUAAGCAUAUCAUUAAGCGGUGGAAAAGAAACUUACAAGGAUUCCCCUAGUAGCGGCGAGUGAACAGGGAAUAGCUCAAAUUGAAAAUCAACUUGUUUGAAUUGUAGUCUUUAGAAGUUUUUCGUUGGUAACUAAGACAUCUACGUCCUUUGGAAUAAGGCUUGUGGGGAAGGUGAUACUCCUUGUCAAGUUGUCAUUAGAAACCGUUCGAGAACUUUUUCGAGUCGCGUUCCUUGUGAUUGGAUCGCAAAGUUGGUGGUAAACUUCAUCAAAAGCUAAAUAUCUAUGAGAAACUGAUAGUGCAAAAGUACCGCGAGGGAAAGGUGAAAAGUACUUUGAGAAGAGAGUUAAAAGGAACUGAAACUGUUGUGAUUGAAGUGAAGGUCGCGGAAAUUUGGUGGCUGUUUUUACAGUUGAUUGCAACUGAUGGAUAGCUGCUCAGUUGGAGCUGGCUUGGAAGUUGGGCAUUAAGAUUAUAUUUGUAUUUCUAUGGAUAUAAUUGUAUUCCCGUUUUGAGCUUGUUUGAAGGUUGCAUUGAAUCUAUUUGGUGCACCUCCUCCAAUAUUCUGUGAUUUUUGUCCCGUCUUGAAACACGGACCAAGGAGUUCAAAUUGAAUGCGAGUGUGCAGGUGCUCAAACCUAAGCGCGAAGAGAAAUCGUUCUGCUGCUAAGUUGCACAAACUGAACAGCAUCCAGCCUCCGCGGAGAUUGAGCAUUCAGUUUGAGACCCGAAAGAUGGUGAACUAUGCCUGGGUGAAGCGAAGCCAGAGGAAACUCUGGUGGAAGCUUAAAACGAUACUGACGUGCAAAUCGUUCGUCAAACUUGGGUAUAGGGGCGAAAGACUAAUCGAACCAUCUAGUAGCUGGUUCCCUC
rnacentral:misc_RNA from 1 species